GAGGGCCCGAUGAGGGAAAGCCCCGACCCUCCCACCCUUUGUGACCAACCCUGUUGCUUCGGGGGCGACCCCGCCGCCUUCGGCGACGGCCCCCCCGGCAGGUCAUCAAACGCUGACUCUUUGCGUCGGAGUUCUUAAACUAAUUCUUUCAAAACUUUCUCCCUCGGAUCUCUUGGUUCUGGCAUCGAUGACAAACGCAG
rnacentral:rRNA from 1 species